rnacentral:rRNA from 1 species
UUCUGUAGCAAGGUUAACCGUAUAGGGGAGCCGAAGGGAAACCGAGUCUUAACCGGGCGUUAAGUUGCAGGGUAUAGACCCGAAACCCGGUGAUCUAGCCAUGGGCAGGUUGAAGGUUGGGUAACACUAACUGGAGGACCGAACCGACUAAUGUUGAAAAAUUAGCGGAUGACCUGUGGCUGGGGGUGAAAGGCCAAUCAAACCGGGAGAUAGCUGGUUCUCCCCGAAAGCUAUUUAGGUAGCGCCUCGUGAAUUCAUCUCCGGGGGUAGAGCACUGUUUCGGCUAGGGGGCCAUCCCGGCUUACCAACCCGAUGCAAACUGCGAAUACCGGAGAAUGUUAUCACGGGAGACACACGGCGGGUGCUAACGUCCGUCGUGAAGAGGGAAACAACCCAGACCGCCAGCUAAGGUCCCAAAGUCAUGGUUAAGUGGGAAACGAUGUGGGAAGGCCCAGACAGCCAGGAUGUUGGCUUAGAAGCAGCCAUCAUUUAAAGAAAGCGUAAUAGCUCACUGGUCGAGUCGGCCUGCGCG